UGGGAGAGAAAGGGCAGUGAGACAAGGUAGAAGGGACUCAUUAUAGUAGAGAGUAGGCCUUUCUGAGAAGGUGACAGUCUGGCAGAAGUUACUGUGUAUGCGCUGGACAAGAGACGAGGCUGCAGCAAAGACCCCACGGAGGGAGAGCAAAAUGGCCAGCUUGUGAAAGCAACUGAGGCAGGUCAGAAAACCACUGCCAGAAACCAGAGAUCACCACCGGCUCUGGUCAGCAUCCAGAGUAUAUGAGUGUCCUGGGGGGAGCCGAGGUGGAAGAGGUGGCAUAAUUCUCAGAAGAGAAGGAGAAUGCAGAUAUUUACAGCCUGGACUGCUCCUUUAUGGAAACCUCCGAUCAAAACCAGCUAAACCUCCCUCCUGGAUCCAGUUGUAUUUCACAUGCCCCCACCUCUGAAUCAGUUCUCUGCGAUGACCUCAGCUCUCAGGUCAACAUGAUACCAUAAACACGAUGAGCUUCCAAAGGCUGUGCUUUCACCAUCAGAUAGUCCAGUCCCGAUACUAGAUCUCCUGUGUGACUACCUGUGCUUGUGUUUUCUUCAUUCUCUCACUGCCCCAGUCAAGUCCAAGUCUGUGGAGUUGGGCAAAGAUACAGCCCUGGGGGAAA